CAGAGCCUGGACAGUGAGUGAAAUGCCUCCUCCUCCCAGCCUUGGCCAGCAUUCCAGCUUUCUUGUGUCUCCAAAGAUGUCAGUGCCCCAGAGUACAAUCCUCACAUAAGUGCCAGUUCUCAAGCAGGUCCUGGUGGGGCAGAGUGAUACCUUGUGAGACAUGCAGCCUUGCUCUCUGCCCUCUGAGCAGCCCGCUUCAUUUCCCGGCAGAGCUCCCAGCAUCCACACAGAAGCAGCUUAGAAGCAUUUGAGAAGACCUCAGGCUGAAGGCCUAGCCCACCACCCAUCGUGUUGUUUGGGUCAGCCUGGAGGGGCCCAGCUGUGUCCUAGCUUAUGCCAUGAACUCCAGAAUUAUGCACCCCAAUUUAGCAUUUAUUUUGUCCUAGUCCCAAACUAACGCAGUUUGGGGAAAACUUACAUGGCUCUGCUAAGAUACCAAUUCUUCCCAUCUCCUAAUCUUAAAGGGAUGUCGUGUGUUUUCCAU
rnacentral:lncRNA from 1 species